UACGUAGGGGGCAAGCGUUGUCCGGAAUUAUUGGGCGUAAAGGGUGCGUAGGCGGCCUUUUAAGUCAGAUGUGAAAGCCCGCGGCUUAACUGCGGGAUUGCAUUUGAAACUGGGAGGCUUGAGUAUCGGAGAGGGUAGUGGAAUUCCCAGUGUAGCGGUGAAAUGCGUAGAUAUUGGGAGGAACACCAGUGGCGAAGGCGACUGCCUGGACGAAAACUGACGCUGAGGCACGAAAGCUAGGGGAGCAAAC
rnacentral:rRNA from 1 species